AUGUUUUUCCAAGCACAAACCACGCUGCAGUCGCUGCUGUUGUUGUUGUUGUUGUUGUUAUCAUUGCUGCUUCUGUUGUUUUGCAGCUCCAUCGUGAACGGUAGAAUUGAAAAGGGGCUGCUGCUAGUGCAACUCAUUUUAAAAUUUCAGCGGCUAGCAUCAUUAAUUACGUCACCGUGGCGACGUCACCGACAAAGAAGAAGGAAAGUGAAGCGUUCUCUGUGCCCUUGAAUAACUGCGAAGAAUUAAGUACGCCGGAAUCAGCAGGAACUUAUCCUUGCCGGAUAAUAAUAAUAAUAAUAAUAUUAAAGGAUCAAAUGCUGCAAUAGUGGAGGUGUCCACA